AUAACACACUGGUGAGGCCUCAUCUGGAGUACUGGGUGCAGUUUUGGUCUCCAGGCUACAAAAAGGACCUAGCAGCACUAGAAAAGGUCCACAGAAGAGCAACUAGGCUGACACCAGGGCUACAGGGGAUGAAUUAUGAGGAAAGAUUAAACGAGUUGAACCUUUUUAGUUUAAGCAAAAGAAGAUUUAAGAGGAGACCUGACUGAAGUGUUUAAAAUUAUGAAGGGAAUUAGUGCAGUGGAUCGAGACAGUGACUUUAAAAUAAGUUCAUCAAGAACACGGGGACACAGUUGGAAACUUGUUAAGGGUAAAUUUCACACAAACAUUAAGAAGUUUUUCUUUUCACAGAGAACCACAGACACCUGGAAUCCAAGCAGUAUGGUGGACAGAUGGACUUUAGAGACUUUUAAACUUGACUUGAUAUUUUUUUGGAAGAAUUAAGGUGAUAGGACUGGCGAGCUUUGUUGGGCGGAAUGGCCUUCAUUGUUCUAAUGUUGUAAUGGUUGUAAAACGCAUAGAAACUUUCUUAAUUAAGGUAGGAGUUGGAGGAAUGGUGGCAUCUUCAUUACGUUCACUUCCUACUUAUUUUUGAAUAAUGAUGGUGAUGUCUAGUUAAUGAGGUUGAAUAAUGGUGUAAUGAUAAGAAGACAGGGGUCCGUGGGGUAGUUCAACCCUGUCACCUCCUAAUCCCCUCAGACUCAUUUCCUAGGCCAAAUGCUCAUGGCAGACAUUUCUCUAAAUGAAAAACAACAAAGCAGGAAAAGCAGAGUGAGCCAGUGAUGAUGCCUUGGGAUCCUGAAUGUUGAAGACACAGAAGUAUUUGUGAAUUAACAAAUGCAAUGUCACCCCUCAGUAGCCACCAUUCAACUCACAGGCAUUUCACCUCACUUGACGUUUUGUCACAGCUUCUUUUCUCAAUCUGCAGGCGCUGUUGUUAAAAGCUGAAAUCAACAAUUUACUCAUAAAAUGGAAUGCAAGCUGAGAUUCUUCACCCUGUUUUUUAUUUAGACGGUUCCUUUUAUAAAUUAGCUCCAACUGCCAUCUCGGAGCAUGUUGUGAAAGAUUAGAAUGAUUGGCCUCUUCUUUUUUUUUGCUGUCUCAGUUAAACCUGCUGCAUUCUGAUCGUAUCUUCCUGAGAAAUAAAGAAAGAGCUGUCAUCUUUUGGAUGAUAUAUGCAAUGUUAACCAGGCUUCCUUAGGAAGGAAUGUCAAACAUUGCAUAACCGCCUCCCUUUUUGGACAACCACAACCUCCAGCCCUCCUUGUUUACACUUUUUAACUUUCAGCUUCUUAGGGUGGCACGGCCUUGUUUUAAAAUAAAUGAUAAUGAUACCAGGUUUUGGAAGAAUUUCAAUAAUUCAAAUAUUUGUGUAAUCUGAUUAUUUCUUUGCCUUUAUGUUAAAGCCCUUGAUAUUCUCAUCCUGGCUGCAAGUAAUUCUGGCUCUUAAACAAGAAUUCAGAGUACAGUAGGUGUAAAGUCCUUUUUUGCCCUUUUUCUGUUUGUUCUACCAUCGGACCCCAAAAAACAGAAAGUUGCACU